UUUAAAAAUUAUUUUCUUAAUAUUUUUUCUACAAAUUCUUAAAUCAAGAUACAUAAGUCUUAUAAUAUAAAAUAUUAAGUCUUGUUUUAUGUACAAUAUAUCAAAAUCAAGUCAGUUUAAGCUUAAAACAAGAACAAAUAUCUGCCAAUGUGUUCAGAAANGAUAAAAUAUUAAGUCUUGUCUUAUGUACAAUAUAUCAAAAUCAAGUCAGUUUAAGUUUAAAACAAGAACAAAUAUCUGCCAGUGGGUCAGAAAAAUAAUCUUGUCUUUCCUUUGAAUGAAAAUACUUUAAGAAAGUUUAGGUAUUUGCACUGGAAAACAAGAAAUAUACUGAGUAAGAAAAAGAUUUUUUGCAGAGUUGUGUAAAAAAAUGUUUUUAAUAAUAAACAAAUUUGGUUAGAAACAAGCUAAAUGAAUGCUUUCUGAUUGUUUGUAAUGUGCAAUAACACUAGGAAUAUAUUCACAUUGUAUAAUAACAAAGAAUGAUGAGCUAUAAGAAUGAUUAUAUGAUAAAUAUGAAGAAUUAAACUUAACAGAUUUUCAAACUCAAAGAUGAUUAAACACUAAACUUGCUUAAUUUUUUAUUUGUCGUAAUGGAAAAGGAAGGUCUACAUGCGUCGUUCUGCAUGUAUCCUGCACACUUUAGUAAAUCUGUGCAUGCUGAAAUUGCCAUACCGCAGAGCGUGCACGGAUCAUGUAACGGUGAGAAGCUAGUUUGCGUCUGUAAGCACCUGUUUUCAGCAUGAGCUCAGCUCUCGGACACAGCAGCAGAUCUCAUCCAGCUGUUCCUCCACUGCUCUUAAAGACACAGCUCACACACUCACCUCAUCAACUACACAUUCACUUCCAGCACGGACAUCCAGCUCAAUAUCUUCUUCUGCUUUCCAUAGAAGGAAAAAAGUCAUACGGGUUCAGAAUGACAUGAAGCUGUUUGAAGCUUUAUGGAUUGUUUCAAGUCUUAAAAAAGCCUUAAACAUGGAAAAUAUUACCAGCAUCUUCCUUUUGAAGUCUUGUCCUCCCCCUCUCUCUGUUAUUUCCUGUAUUCAGUUCUGUGCUGCUUAUAACUCACAGUCCGAGGAGAGCCAACAUCGCUACCCACAAUUCUUUGCCUUAGUAACACUUUUAACUAUCAUUUUAAAGUUUUAGUAAUUUAGUUUAGUUUUUUUGAUUUUUAGUUUUUUAAAAUGUCUAUAUAGUCUUUUUUAUGAAUUUUUUUUUAACUGGAAAAGAGAAAUGUUGCCUUAGCAACAAGCUGAAGUACAUAUAUAUGUCUAUUAGAUUUAUUUUUAUAUUUUCUGUUUUUACUUUAAUUUUAGUUAAAGUUUUAACUGUUGUGUGUUUUUUUUUAAAUAUGUCUGCAUAGUUUUUUAUAAAUUUUUAUUCUGUUUUUAUUCAUUUUUAUUUAACCGAAAAUGAGAAAUGUUGCCUUAGAAACUAUCUGAAAUAUAAAUGUAUAGUAGAUUUAUUUUUACAUUUCCUAUUUUCUUAUUUUUUUUUCUUUUUUAAAAAUUUAAAAUUAAUUUUUCAUUAUUCUUUAUUUAAACUGAAAACAAAAAA
ensembl:lncRNA